AUGAACGCUGGCGGCGUGCCUAAUACAUGCAAGUCGAGCGCACGGACGAGAAGCUUGCUUCUCUGAUGUUAGCGGCGGACGGGUGAGUAACACGUGGAUAGCCUACCUAUAAGACUGGGAUAACUUCGGGAAACCGGAGCUAAUACCGGAUGAUAUUUUGAACCGCAUGGUUCAAAAGUGAAAGACGGUCUUGCUGUCACUUAUAGAUGGAUCCGCGCUGCAUUAGCUAGUUGGUAAGGUAACGGCUUACCAAGGCAACGAUGCAUAGCCGACCUGAGAGGGUGAUCGGCCACACUGGAACUGAGACACGGUCCAGACUCCUACGGGAGGCAGCAGUAGGGAAUCUUCCGCAAUGGGCGAAAGCCUGACGGAGCAACGCCGCGUGAGUGAUGAAGGUCUUCGGAUCGUAAAACUCUGUUAUUAGGGAAGAACAUAUGUGUAAGUAACUGUGCACAUCUUGACGGUACCUAAUCAGAAAGCCACGGCUAACUACGUG
rnacentral:rRNA from 1 species